rnacentral:rRNA from 1 species
UGGGGAAUUUUGGACAAUGGGCGAAAGCCUGAUCCAGCAAUGCCGCGUGUGUGAAGAAGGCCUUCGGGUUGUAAAGCACUUUUGUCCGGAAAGAAAUCCUUGGCUCUAAUACAGUCGGGGGAUGACGUACCGGAAGAAUAAGCACCGGCUAACUACGUGCCAGCAGCCGCGGUAAUACGUAGGGUGCAAGCGUUAAUCGGAAUUACUGGGCGUAAAGCGUGCGCAGGCGGUUUGCUAAGACCGAUGUGAAAUCCCCGGGUCUCAACCUGGGAACUGCAUUGGUGACUGGCAGGCUAGAGUAUGGCAGAGGGGGGUAGAAUUCCACGUGUAGCAUGAAAUGCGUAGAGAUGUGGAGGAAUACCGAUGGCGAAAGGCAGCCCCCUGGGCCAAAUACUGAGCUCAUGCACGAAAAGGCGUGGGGGAGCAAAAGCAGGAUUAGAUA